GGGGGUGUAGCUUAGCCCGGUCUAAAGCAGUCGCCUGUCGAGCGAAAGAUCGUGGGUUCAAAUCCCAUUUCCCCCG
rnacentral:tRNA from 1 species